GACGAACGCUGGCGGCGUGCCUAAUACAUGCAAGUAGAACGCUGAAGAGAGGAGCUUGCUCUUCUUGGAUGAGUUGCGAACGGGUGAGUAACGCGUAGGUAACCUGCCUUGUAGCGGGGGAUAACUAUUGGAAACGAUAGCUAAUACCGCAUAACAAUGGAUGACACAUGUCAUUUAUUUGAAAGGGGCAAUUGCUCCACUACAAGAUGGACCUGCGCUGUAUUAGCUAGUAGGUGAGGUAAUGGCUCACCUAGGCGACGAUACAUAGCCGACCUGAGAGGGUGAUCGGCCACACUGGGACUGAGACACGGCCCAGACUCCUACGGGAGGCAGCAGUAGGGAAUCUUCGGCAAUGGGGGCAACCCUGACCGAGCAACGCCGCGUGAGUGAAGAAGGUUGUCGGAUCGUAAAGCUCUGUUGUAAGUCAAGAACGGGUGUGAGAGUGGAAAGUUCACACUGUGACGGUAGCUUACCAGAAAGGGACGGCUAACUACGUG
rnacentral:rRNA from 1 species